UGAGAUGAGGAGAAAGCACCUCCACUGAUGCCGGCGCUAAAUGAAGAUACGCCCACGGGCCGAUG
rnacentral:snoRNA from 1 species